rnacentral:tRNA from 2 species
UGGGGCGUCGCCAAGUGGUAAGGCAGCGGAUUUUGGUUCCGCCAUUCGUUGGUUCGAAUCCAGCCGCCCCAGC